rnacentral:rRNA from 1 species
CCUGGCUCGGGGCAGCCGGUCCGCCUUGCAAAAGGUGCGCACUGUGCGGCCUCGGCCAUCCUUUAGAAAAGCGGCCCUGGCAUUCAGUUGUCGGGGUCGGGCUUCUAAACGUUUACUGUGAAAAAAUCAGAGUGUUCAAAGCAGGCUUACGCCUUGAAUACAUUAGCAUGGAAUAAUGAGAUAAGACUUUGGCGGUCUAUUUUGUUGGUUUGCACGCCGAAGUAAUGAUUAACAGGGACGGUUGGGGU